AUUGAACGCUGGCGGCAGGCCUAACACAUGCAAGUCGAGCGAGCGGCGGACGGGUGCGUAAUGUAUGGGGACUGCCCGCUAGAGGGGGGUAACUCCUGGAAAAGGUAGCUAAUACCGCAUACUAUUGGCUUACCCAUAUGGGAUUAGAUAGUAGGGGAGGUAAUAGCUCACCUAGGCGACGAUCCCUAGCUGUGCUGAGAGGAUGAUCAGCCACACUGGGACUGAGACACGGCCCAGACUCCGACGGAGGCAGCAGUGGGGAAGAUUGCACAAUGGGCGCAAGCCUGAUGCAGCCAUGCCGCGUGUAUGAAGAAGGCCCUAGGGUUGUAAAGUACUUUCAUUCGGGAGGCGUUACCGACAGAAGAAGCACCGGCUAACUCCGUGCCAGCAGCCGCGGUAAUUC
rnacentral:rRNA from 1 species